CCCCCUGUGGCUCAGUUGGUAGAGCAUGGUGUUUGCAACGCCAGCAUGGUGUGUGCAACACCAGGGUUGUGGGUUUGAUUCCCACGGGGGGC
rnacentral:tRNA from 1 species